UUCUGGGAGAAAGAAAACAGAGUGAGAGAAAUGGCAUGGAUCAGUCGCCAGAGUAAGACAUGCUGCUGAAACUUAGCCGGAACAUUACCUGACCCUUGGGAGAACAUGCCAGAAGUUGGUUUCCAUGGCUCCAUCUUCAGACAUUUUCCUGUUUGAAAGAAGGCUUAUCCCGGACAUGCAUUUGCAUGAAUCCAGCCCAUCUAGAAUUCUGCUUUGGAUAAAUGUCUAUAUAAUUAUUUACCUCUGGCUAUAAACCCAGUGAUACCAACCAUCAGGCCACCUAUAACUACCUAUGAACCUAUUAUCAGUUCUCCAGUACUAAGUUGCUAUUGGAAAUUUUCUGCCAACACUUCCCAAAUAUCAUUUUCAAUGAUCCCGCACUGACAGCUUGACUUUGGUCAUCGGAGGAUCAUUAAAGCCACAGAAUCUGACAAAUCCUACACAUGUUGACCUAGAAUGACUUGAAAGGUCUAUUUAUAAGUGGGGCACUUUACCACUGCUACACUGUACCAAAACCUGAUUUAAGACCACUGUAGUUUUUGUCUGUGCCUUGAGAGACUCUUCUCUCAAGGCAGGGACAACCCUCACUUCGAACUGAUUUUUCUCAAGUAUUGCUCUUUAUUCCUCCACUUAAAAGAUCUGAGUAUUGCAAAUAGGCAAUAGGUUCAAAUUCCGAAUGACCUUCCCUUUUAAUUUUUAUUACCUUGACUUCAGAGUAGCUCUCAUAACAAGUAUUACGAGGUGUUUUCCAGGACUCCUUCUGAAGCACUUGCCCUCACAUCACUUACUUGCUUUCAGUCAUAACGAUCUUUCCUUCAGCGUCUGGAGUGCCCUUUUCUAGUAACCCAAAUAUAAAAAUGCCAUCAAUCACAUCCAGCCAAUAUCCUAUGCCCAGUAGUCUGUGAAAUCUUCUCUAAUGUCUUCAAGAGCAGGAAUAUUGCACCCUCUGAACUACAAUGUGUUACCCAGAGCCUUUGCAGCACUCACAAUGCUUUAAGUUUAUUACAUUUUGUGGGCAUACACAACCUAUUUCCUUGAUAGUUUUUACGCUCCGGAGAGCAGCGCUCAUGUGUGGCACAUUGUGCACAUGUGCUCCUCAGAGCACAAGCUAAUGAAGCUCUCUUGUGAUCGGUACAGUCCACAGAAACUCCAAAUAAAUCAAUUGUUCUUUUCUCUCUUUAUCUAAAGUGCCUCGGCCAUACUUAUUUGACACCAAGACUGAAAAUCAUUGUGUUAAAUGGAUAAAUAAAUGAAUGAAUGCUGAA